rnacentral:rRNA from 1 species
CCUACGGGAGGCAGCAGUGGGGAAUCUUGCGCAAUGGGCGAAAGCCUGACGCAGCAACGCCGCGUGCGGGAAGAAGGCUCUCGGGUUGUAAACCGCUUUCAGCAGGAACGAAAAUGACGGUACUUGCAGAAGAAGGUGCGGCCAACUACGUGCCAGCAGCCGCGGUGACACGUAGGCACCAAGCGUUGUCCGGAUUUAUUGGGCGUAAAGAGCUCGUAGGCGGUUCGGUAAGUCAGGUGUGAAAACUUUGGGCUCAACCCAAAGCCUGCAUCUGAUACUGCUGUGACUAGAGUUCGGUAGGGGAGCGGGGAAUUCCUAGUGUAGCGGUGAAAUGCGCAGAUAUUAGGAGGAACACCGGUGGCGAAGGCGCCGCUCUGGGCCGAAACUGACGCUGAGGAGCGAAAGCGUGGGUAGCAAACAGGAUUAGAUACCCUGGUAGUCCACGCCGUAAACGUUGGGCACUAGGUGUGGGUUUCAACCAACGAAAUCCGCGCCGUCGCUAACGCAUUAAGUGCCCGCCUGGGGAGUACGGCCGCAGGUUAAAACUCAAAUGAAUUGACGG